CCGCUCUAUAUAACCAAGAGAACGGGUAGUAUCCGCUCUAUAUAACCAAGAGAAGGGGUAGUACCCGCUCUAUAUAACCAAGAGAACGGGUAGUACCCGCUCUAUAUAACCAAGAGAAGGGGUAGUACCCGCUCUAUAUAACCAAGAGAAGGGGUAGUACCCGCUCUAUAUAACCAAAAGAACUCCAAAGUUAUCAAUGAAUUGAAACUGACACUUUUAUCUACAGAAUGGUUCUGUUCUGCUGCUCUCUGGUGCCCACUGUUCCCACCCAGUAUCUGGCACGUCUCUCUCCUUUCCCAGCUGUAGAGUCCAGUUUUGGGCCAUUUUUCCCAUAACCCCCCUCUUCCCCAGGGAUGAGUCAUCAUCACUGUAAUAUGAGACGAAGCAGGCAGGAAAAGCUGCUCUGUAACACACACAGAUUACCAGGAUGGUGUGACGUCCGUGAGCAGUGUGUGCCUUAGAUACUUCUGGCUUCUGGAUGAGAGGGAGUCAAAACAUCCUGUAGUUAUCUCUCUCUAGUCUCUCUCUCUCUGGUCUCUCUCUGGUCUCUCUCUAGUCUCUCUCUCUCACUGGUCUCUCUGGUCUCUCUCUAGUCUCUCUCACUCUGGUCUCUCUCUCUCUGGUCUCUCUCUGGUCUCUCUCUAGUCUCUCUCUCUCUGGUCUCUCUCUCUCUCUCUCUGGUCUCUCUCUCUGGACUCUCUCUCUCUGGUUUCUCUCUCUCUCUGGUCUCUCUCUCUGGUCUCUCUCUGGUCUCUCUCUCUCUCUGGUCUCUCUCUCUGGUCUCUCUCUUGUCUCUCUCUCUGGUCUCUCUCUCUCUGGUCUCUCUCUCUCUCUCUGGUCUCUCUCUGGUCUCUCUCUCUCUCUCUGGUCUCUCUCUCUGGUCUCUCUCUCUUUGGUCUCUCUCUCUCUCUGGUCUCUCGCUCUCUCUCUGGUCUCUCGCUCUCUCUCUGGUCUCUCGCUCUCUCUCUGGUAUCUCGCUCUCUCUGGUCUCUCGGUCUCUCGCUCUCUCUCUCUGGUCUCUCUCUCUGGUCUCUCUCUCUUCUCUCACUCUCUCUGUCACCUCACCUCUCUCUCUCUCAUACCUCUUAUCUCUCUCUCCCCAGCCUGUAUGUCCUCUACUCCCAGUGGUCAUGUCAUUGUAUUCCAGAUGACAAUAUUAGCUUUCCCAUCCUUCACCGUCCAUAAAUAUACAUUAUCUUUGGCAACAUCCCAAAUGGCACCCUAUUCCCUCCAUAGUGCACUACCUUUGGGCCCUGGUCAAAAUGAGUUCACUAUAUAGAGAAUAGGAUGCCAUUUAGGAUACUGCCCUUAUCGCCACAAAACUGAUCGACACCAGGAAGUGAUGCAAUGGCUCCAGUGAGGCAUUUCCUGUGUCCUGCUGUCCAUACACACUGAUCUCUGAUAGUGUUCUAUGUAGGUCUUUCCAUCCUCAUCCAACUAUUCUUUUCUCUUGUUUAUCAGUGCAGCUCCUCUGCUCUUCUGUUUCCUGCUCGCUCUCUCGCUCUCUCUCUCUGGUCUCUUGCUCUCUGGUCUCUCUCUCUGGUCUCUCUCUCUCUGGUCUCUCGCUCUCUGGUCUCUCUCUCUCUGGUCUCUCGCUCUCUUUCUCUCUGGUCUCUUGCUCUCUUUCUCUCUGGUCUCUCGCUCUCUUUCUCUCUGGUCUCUCGCUCUCUUUCUCUCUGGUCUCUCUCUCUCUCGCUCUCUUUCUCUCUGGUCUCUUGCUCUCUCUCUCUCUGGUCUCUCGCUCUCUGGUCUCUCGCUUUCUGGUCUCUCGCUCUCUUUCUCUCUGGUCUCUCGCUCUCUUUCUCUCUGGUCUCUCGCUCUCUUUCUCUCUGGUCUCUCUCUCUCUCUGGUCUCUCGCUCUCUUUCUCUCUGGUCUCUCUCUCUCUCGCUCUCUUUCUCUCUGGUCUCUCGCUCUCUUUCUCUCUGGUCUCUUGCUCUCUCGCUCUCUGGUCUCUCGCUCUCUGGUCUCUCGCUCUCUGGUCUCUCUCUCUCUUUCUCUCUGGUCUCUCGCUCUCUUUCUCUCUGGUCUCUCGCUCUCUGGUCUCUCUCUCUCUCUCUUUCUCUCUGGUCUCUCGCUCUCUUUCUCUCUGGUCUCUCGCUCUCUGGUCUCUCGCUCUCUGGUCUCUCGCUCUCUUUCUCUCUGGUCUCUCUCUCUUUCUCUCUGGUCUCUCGCUCUCUUUCUCUCUGGUCUCUCGCUCUCUUUCUCUCUGGUCUCUUGCUCUCUCUCUCUCUGGUCUCUCGCUCUCUGGUCUCUCUCUCUCUGGUCUCUCGCUCUCUUUCUCUCUGGUCUCUUGCUCUCUCUCUCUCUGGUCUCUUGCUCUCUCUCUCUCUGGUCUCUCGCUCUCUGGUCUCUUUCUCUCUGGUCUCUCGCUCUCUGGUCUCUCUCUCUCUCUUUCUCUCUGGUCUCUCACUCUCUUUCUCUCUGGUCUCUCGCUCUCUUUCUCUCUGGUCUCUUGCUCUCUCUCUCUCUGGUCUCUCGCUCUCUGGUCUCUUUCUCUCUGGUCUCUCGCUCUCUUUCUCUCUGGUCUCUCGCUCUCUUUCUCUCUGGUCUCUUGCUCUCUGGUCUCUCGCUCUCUGGUCUCUCGCUCUCUUUCUCUCUGGUCUCUCCCUCUCUUUCUCUCUGGUCUCUCGCUCUCUUUCUCUCUGGUCUCUCGCUCUCUUUCUCUCUGGUCUCUCGCUCUCUCUCUCUCUGGUCUCUCGCUCUCUGGUCUCUUUCUCUCCCUCUCUUUCUCUCUGGUCUCUCGCUCUCUGGUCUCUCACUCUCUUUUUCUCUGGUCUCUCCCUCUCUCUCUCUCUGGUCUCUCACUCUCUUUUUCUCUGGUCUCUCCCUCUCUCUCUCUCUGGUCUCUCUCUGGUCUCUCUCUAGUCUCUCUCUCUCACUGGUCUCUCUGGUCUCUCUCUAGUCUCUCUCUCUCUGGUCUCUCGCUCUCUUUCUCUCUGGUCUCUCGCUCUCUUUCUCUCUGGUCUCUCGCUCUGGUCUCUUUCUCUCUGGUCUCUCGCUCUCUUUCUCUCUGGUCUCUCGCUCUCUUUCUCUCUGGUCUCUCGCUCUCUUUCUCUGGUCUCUCGCUCUCUGGUCUCUCUCUCUCUCUCUCUUUCUCUCUGGUCUCUCGCUCUCUUUCUCUCUGGUCUCUCGCUCUCUGGUCUCUCGCUCUCUGGUCUCUCGCUCUCUGGUCUCUCGCUCUCUGGUCUCUUUCUCUCUGGUCUCUCGCUCUCUUUCUCUCUGGUCUCUCUCUCUCUUUCUCUCUGGUCUCUCGCUCUCUUUCUCUCUGGUCUCUCGCUCUCUUUCUCUCUGGUCUCUUGCUCUCUCUCUCUCUGGUCUCUCGCUCUCUGGUCUCUCUCUCUCUGGUCUCUCGCUCUCUUUCUCUCUGGUCUCUUGCUCUCUCUCUCUCUGGUCUCUUGCUCUCUCUCUCUCUGGUCUCUCGCUCUCUGGUCUCUUUCUCUCUGGUCUCUCGCUCUCUGGUCUCUCUCUCUCUCUCUCUCUCUCUCUGGUCUCUCACUCUCUUUCUCUCUGGUCUCUCGCUCUCUUUCUCUCUGGUCUCUUGCUCUCUCUCUCUCUGGUCUCUCGCUCUCUGGUCUCUCGCUCUCUGGUCUCUCGCUCUCUGGUCUCUCACUCUCUUUCUCUCUGGUCUCUCGCUCUCUUUCUCUCUGGUCUCUUGCUCUCUCUCUCUCUUGGUCUCUCUUUCUCUCUGGUCUCUCGCUCUCUUUCUCUCUGGUCUCUCGCUCUCUUUCUCUCUGGUCUCUUGCUCUCUUUCUCUCUGGUCUCUUGCUCUCUGGUCUCUUUCUCUCUGGUCUCUUGCUCUCUUUCUCUCUGGUCUCUCGCUCUCUCUCUCUCUGGUCUCUCGCUCUCUGGUCUCUUUCUCUCCCUCUCUUUCUCUAUGGUCUCUCGCUCUCUGGUCUCUGGUCUCUCGCUCUCUGGUCUCUCUCUCUCUGGUCUCUCACUCUCUUUUUCUCUGGCCUCUCCCUCUCUUUCUCUCUGGUCUCUCGCUCUCUUUCU
rnacentral:lncRNA from 1 species